UACGAAGGGGGCUAGCGUUGCUCGGAAUCACUGGGCGUAAAGGGUGCGUAGGCGGGUCUUUUAAGUCAGGGGUGAAAUCCUGGAGCUCAACUCCAGAACUGCCUUUGAUACUGAAGAUCUUGAGUUCGGGAGAGGUGAGUGGAACUGCGAGUGUAGAGGUGAAAUUCGUAGAUAUUCGCAAGAACACCAGUGGCGAAGGCGAGUCCCUGGACAACUCCUGACACUGAGGCACGAAAGCUAGGGGAGCAAACAGG
rnacentral:rRNA from 1 species